CCUACGGGAGGCAGCAGUGGGGAAUAUUUCACAAUGGGGGAAACCCUGAUGCAGCGACGCCGCGUGAGUGAAGAAGUAAUUCGUUAUGUAAAGCUCUAUCUGCCGGGAAGCAAAUGCCGUUACCUGAGUAAGAAGCCCCGACUAACUACGUGCCAGCAGCCGCGGUACUACGUAGGGGGCAAGCGUUAUCCGGAGUUACUGGGUGUAAAGGGAGCGUAGACGGCAGUGCAAGUCUGGCGUGAAAGGCGUGGACUCAACCCCCGGACUGGUCUGGAAACUGGACGGCUGGAGGGCAGGAGAGGUAAGUGGAAUUCCUAGUGUAGCGGUGAAAUGCGUAGAUAGUAGGAGGAACACCCGUGGCGAAGGCGGCUUACUGGACUGUAACUGACGCUGAGGCUCGAAAGCGUGGGGAGCAAACAGGAUUAGAUACCCGGGUAGUC
rnacentral:rRNA from 1 species